ACCUGUUAUCUGCAUACGAUUUUCCGGGUGAUGACGUGCCCAUAGUUCGUGGGUCUGCAUUAUGCGCACUUGAGGAUGAUUCCUCAGAAAUAGGGGUACCGUCGAUUAGUAAGUUGAUGAGUACUGUGGAUGAGUAUAUACCAUUGCCUACAAGACCUAUUGAUGGACCAUUUGUCAUGCCUGUAGAGUCUGUGUUUUCAAUUUCUGGUAGAGGCACUGUGGUGACCGGAAGGGUUGAGCAAGGUCGACUAGAUGUAGGGGAUGAGGUCGAGAUUGUUGGUCUAAAGCCUUCGCAGAAAACCACCUGUAUCGGUUUGGAAAUGUUUCACAAAGAGUUAGACUUUGGAGAGGCGGGAGAUAAUGUAGGUGCAUUGCUUCGAGGGGUUAAGCGUGAUGAAGUCAUAAGAGGUCAGAUCUUAUGCAAGCCUGGUGCUAUAAAAUCAUAUAAAACCCUAGAAGCUGAGGUUUAUGUUUUGAAAAAAGAAGAGGGGGGUAGACACACUGCAUUCGUAAGUAAUUAUAGACCACAAUUCUUUUUCAGAACUGCAGAUAUUACUGGGACAGUUGGUCUGCCUGAGGAUACAGCAAUGAUUAUGCCUGGUGACAAUGCUACGAUUAAAAUAGAAUUAAUUGUGCCUGUUGCAUUACAUGAAGGUCUACGUUUCUCUAUUAGAGAAGGUCGUAGGACAAUUGGGGCCGGAGUAGUUUCCAGGUUGGUCGGAUAAAUUAAGUUGUUUACACUUCUAUUCAGUUAUACAUCAUGAACGUAAGUCGUUUUUUUUGUGACUCAAACCCUAGAUGUAUUAGUUACAUUAGGGUUUCAAGCUUUAGUAAACUAGAACAUUAUAAGUCACUAGAUCGCUUAUUAAGCAAGCUUAAGUCUGAUCCCCAACUUGAGGUAUCAAGCGUAUUCCCUUUAUUAAAUAAAAAUCGAUCUUUUACAGUGCUGAGGUCUCCUCACAUAGAUAAAAAAUCUAGAGAACAGUUCGGCCAAGCGAUUAAUCGUUCUUUAAUUAUAAUUAAGGUGGGUAGUUUAGAGGGCUACAGUAAGCUGCGAUCUUUGGCAGUCGAAGACCUAGAGCCUGGCAUUAGCAUUAGAUUUAUGCACAGAUUUGUUUUAUCAUAAUUAUAUUAAUUGAAUUGGAUAUGGGGUUAAAAUUAAGUAAACCUGUUACUCCGUCUCGUAGACACACUUCAUGGGCAGACCGAUCAGAAAUUUGGAAGGGUAAGCCGGUUAAAAAGCUGUCAAAAGGUUAUUCUUACGGCGGAGGACGUAAUAACCUAGGCCGCGUCACAUCAUUUCACAGAGGUGGGGGCCACAAGAGGAGGUAUAGAUUCAUAGAUUUCCGUAGGGGUAUCUUUAAUGAGCCUGCAAAAGUGGUCAGAAUUGAGUAUGACCCUUUUAGAUCUAGUUACAUUGCGUUGGUGGGUUAUUCGAACAAUAAGUUGGCAUAUAUACUUGCACCAGAAGGUCUGAAGCCCGGAGAUGUGGUGGUUUCUGGUGAAAAAGUGGACAUAAAGGUAGGGAAUUGUUGCCCAAUUAUGAAUUUACCAGUCGGCACCGUUAUUCACAAUAUCGAACUCAAGCCAGGAGGGGGAGGUAAGCUAGCGCGUGCGGCGGGUACAAAUGCGGUUAUCGUGAAGAAAGGUGCAGAGGGUUACGCAAUGUUAAAGCUUUCUUCUGGCAGUUACCGGUUGGUUUCAAUGCUCUGCUUGGCAACGGUUGGCUCAUUGUCGAAUAUUGAUAAUAAGAACGUUUCGCUUGGCAAGGCGGGUAGAUCUCGUUGGAUGGGUCGUAGACCAAUUGUACGUGGUGUCGCAAUGAACCCGGUAGAUCACCCUCAUGGUGGAGGCGAGGGAAAAACUUCUGGAGGGCGUCCAUCGUCUUCUCCUUGGGGAAUCCCGACUAAGGGAAAGGUUACCCGAUCUAGGCGUAAGUGGUCUGAUAAAUACAUCGUUUCAGUUUAGUAGUAAAGUUAUAGUUGGUAUUUCUAUUACAUUAUGUCUCGUUCAGUUUGGAAAGGUCCAUAUGUGAGCAAUCAUAUAAUUAGAAUAAUAAGUGGGCUAAGGGUUAAAGAGAAUAGAAGGAAGGUUUAUAAGGUGUGGUCUAGGUCAUCGGUAAUCUUGCCUUCUUUGGUGGGCGUUAGAUUUCUAGUGCAUAACGGGAUUAAGUUUAUUCCUGUUAAUGUGACCAGUUCUAUGGUUGGCCAUAAAUUUGGAGAGUUUUCUUCCACUCGUAAGAAAGUUAUUCACAAAGUAAAGAGUUGAUAUUUUUUAGUAUAUAAAUUAUGGGUCAGAAAGUAAAUCCUAGAGGAUUCAGACUUGGUUUAAAUAAUCGACAUUACUUAGAAAGUUUUGGUCCAUCUAAUCAUUAUUCCAGGAUCUGGCAUGAAAAUUUUAAGGUACGUGAGUAUAUACAAGGUGUUUUAUAUAACUCAAAUGUCUUUGUCGGGGAUAUAAAAAUUUACCGUGCAAGCGAAAGAUUAUCUAUCGUGGUGGACUUUGCGUUAAGAUCUAGUAAGAAAGGGAUUCUGCCUUUUGCAGUAGAUGCUUAUAUUUCACAGAUUAUGUCAUUUGUGGAAAAAGAAACCGGCUGUUUGUGUAGUGUAUCAUUUAAUGAGGCGUGUGUGCCUUUUUAUAGUGCCACAUUAUUGUCGAAGUACGUUGUUUUUCAAAUUGAGGAAAGGGUUCCAUUCAAAGUAAUCUUCCGUGAACUUUCAAGAAAUUUGAAAGAAAUACCUUCUAUACAAGGCAUAAAGGUUUCUUGCGCUGGUAGAUUGCGCGGUGAAGAGAUGGCUCGCACAGUUUGGGUUAGCGAAGGUCGGGUGUCUCUUCAAAGCAUAAGUGAAGAUGUGUCCUACGCUGAGGGAACAGCUCAUACUUCGUAUGGGAGUUGUGGGGUGAAAGUGUGGGUUUGCUAUAAAUGAUUUUUUAUAUAUUGGAGAGUAUUUAAGAACAUGUUAAUUCCAAAAAGAACAAAAUUUAGAAAAUACCAAAAAGGAAGAGUCAAAGGAAUCGAAUGUACCUCUAAUAAGUUAAAAUUUGGUAUUUACGGAAUAAAAGCCUUGGAAGGGGGAAGAAUUACGGCGUCUCAGAUAGAGUCAGUGAGGUUGGCUGUUGUUCGUAAAGUCAGGAAGAGUGGACGGCUUUGGAUCCGCAUCUUUCCAGACAUAAGUGUAACCUCAAAGCCGGUGGAGGUUCGUAUGGGACGUGGUAAAGGGUCUAUUGAUUAUUGGUGCACUAGAGUGCGUCCAGGUAAAGUACUCUUCGAGUUAGAUGGCGUUACAUUUGAUAUAGCAAAAGAAGUUCUCUCGUCGGCUUGCUUUAAGUUACCAAUAAAAGCAAAGUUUUUUUGUGAAAGUUACGUUUCAAAUAUAUGAUUCAAGUUCAAUCCUAUUUAAAGGUAGUAGAUAAUAGUGGAGCUAAGUUGUCACAAUGCAUAAAAGUGCUUGGGGGUAGCAAGCGCCGUUACGCAUCAGUUGGUGACACGGUUGUAGUAGCUAUAAAGAGUGUUGUGCCUGGUAGACGCAUAAAAAAAGGGGAGGUCAGACUAGCGCUAAUUGUUCGAACUCGAGGUUGCUCAAGAAGAGUGGACGGCUUUUCUGUUAAAUUUGAUGAAAAUGCGGUUAUACUAUUGGGAGACUCCGGUAUGCCAAUUGGGACAAGGAUCUUUGGUCCAAUAUCAAGUUUGGUUGCUCGCAAGAAGUAUCCCAGGGUGUACUCUUUGUCAUCUAAAGUGAUUUAGUGUUUUUUUAUUAAGAGGUGAGUGGGUAUUCAUGAGGUUUUCAGAUUGGCAUUAUUAUUCUAUUGUGCGUCCAGAUUUAAUUGCGUCAGGCAGUUAUCAUAAUUGCAUGUCAUUGCCUAGAUUAACAGCAUUAAGUAUUGUUUCGUCCGGUAGCGCUAUUAUUAGAGAAGGCAAAUUAUUGCCUGUCUACAUGUGCUUGUUGGAAUUAAUAACAGGUCGCCGUCCAGCAAUUAUACGGGCAAGGAGAUCUGUAUCUAGUUUUAAACUUAGACAGGGCAUGCUGAUAGGGUGCGGUGUAAGGGUAUGCUCUCAUCCUAUGCUAUAUGAACUUUUACAGCGUGGAGCUUUGAGUGUAGCAUACCGCAGAUGGAUGCGCUCAAGCUCACAUGGUUUUUAUCAAAGUAUUAGUAGUCAGGGAAAUUUGUCGUUCGGUUUUUCGGAUGGCUUUUUCUUCCCACAGCUUGACACUGAGUUCGAUAAGUUUCCAUCUGGAAUGGGAGGAAAUGUAAAUGUUACUUCUUCUUCAAGUUCUGUAGAAGAGGCUUCUUUAUUAUUUUCUUUGAUCGGUCUCCCUUUAAAAUAGUUGUGUUAUUGAGUAGGUUUAUUGAAUAUGAGCUUAUUAAGAAAAGAUAAGCAUGUUCGUCAUAAGGUUCACCUAGGUGAAAUGCGUCAUGUUGUAUUGAAAAAAAUCCAGUAUAAUCAAAGCCUACCAUUGAAUGUUCGUGUUGGUGCGCAAAUGAAGUUAAACUCUGCAAAUUCUAGCUCUCCUACUAAAGUGAGGAACCGGUGUGUUUUAUCAUCUAGGCCACGAGGAGUUUUACGAUUUGUUAAAGUGUCCCGUAUUCAGUUUCGACAUUUUUCAUUAUUUGGGUUUUUUCCAGGUGUUCAUAAGUUAAGUUGGUAGAAUUAUUUAUGUCAAAUAUAGAUCUGUUGUCUGAUUCCUUGACUCGGAUUCGAAAUGGUUAUAUGUCGAACCGUAAGUCUGUCAAGUUAGUGAAGUCCAAAUUGGUAUAUGACUUGGUUGGAGCAUUAUAUCGGUGCGGUUACGUUCAGUCAUACGAAGUAGUUGAUCAAUUUGUAGUAGUGUUUUUGAGAUAUAUCUUUCAGAAGCCUGCAGUAAGGAACAUUAUUCGCGUAUCAAAGCUAAGUUGUCGAGUGCACGUGUCUUGCAGGGAUCUAAAAUCGAAUCCAAGCAGCACUGGGCUAGGCACAUUAGUUAUCUCCACAAGCUACGGGAUUCUAUCUGAAAUGGAGGCCAUCAGGCUGGGGGUUGGUGGCGAAGUUUUGUGCAAGGUAUUUUAGUUUUUAUUGAGUCGAUAUGUCAAGCAAUUUUAUUUGUAAUUUCAACCAAGUUGAUGGAGUUUCCUAUUUCUAUAAUCCUAAGGAAAUAUUGGUUAAGGGUAGACUAGGUGCUACAUCUGUACCUAUGUGUCCUCAAGUUAAAGUUGGAGUAUCAAGAAGAGAAGGGGAUAAAAGUUCUAUUUCAGUUGCUGGGGAUAAGAAGCAAGUAUUAACCUUCAUAACCCAUUUAAAAAAUGCCUCAAACGGGGUAUCAUACGGGUACUUAAAGGUAUUGUCAUUAGUUGGGGUGGGCUACAGAGCCUCCACUGAACCUAACCUAUUGCGGUUAAAGUUAGGGUACAGCCAUGAUGUUGUAUUUAGAGUUCCUAAAGACAUUAGAAUUGCUGUAGCCAAUAAUACAUUAAUUUAUGUCUUUGGGGUAGAUAAGCAAGUUGUUGGUACUACUUCGGAUAUGGUUCGUUCAUUCAGGAAACCUGAAGCCUACAAAGGCAAAGGAGUCCGUUAUGAAACAGAGAUAAUUAAUUUGAAAGAAGUUAAAAAGCGUUAGUUGUUAAUCAUUUGAAUGGUAGGUAUUAAUGGUAUAUUUUUUGGGUAGGCAUUUGAAGAAGGAGAAGUUAAUUGGCCAUCAAUUAGCAGUUGUCUUCGGCAUUGGUAAGAAGCGUGCGGGGAAAUUGUGCAAGGCGAUCGGGCUGUCAGUACAUUCAAAAGUGUUGGGUCUUGAUGAUACUCAGGUUCUCAAGUUAUCGCGUCUUAUAAUGAAUAAUUAUAUAGUGGAUUCGGACCUGAAAAAGGUUAUUACGGGUAACAUUCAACACUUGAAAAAGAUAAGUUGUUACCGUGGUAUAAGACACACUCAAGGUCUCCCCUGUCGGGGUCAGAGGACACAUACUAACGCUAGGACUUCUAGAAAGCGCAAAUUCAAGUAGUUGUAAUUUUUUUACUGAGCAAUUUAAUAUUAUGAAUGUAAAACAGGGUUAUUCCGUGUCUGUGCAUUGUACGUUUAACAACACAAUAAUUUCACUAAUUGACAUAAAAGGGAAUGUUCUAUGCUGGUCUUCCGGCGGAGAAGUAGGGUUCAAGGGGGCACGUAGAUCCACGGCUUAUGCUGCUCAGUUAGCGACGGAAAAAGUUCUAUCACACGCUAGGAGUAUUAAUGCGCAUUCUAUCAAAAUACAGGUCUCAGGUGUAGGAGAAGGUAAGAGGGCGUCUAUUAAGUCUGUAGCGAAUUCUGGUAUUAGGGUAUUAUCAAUCGUGGAUGUUACAUCCUUGCCGCACAAUGGUUGUAGACCACCAUUACGCAGGCAAGUUUAAAAUAUUAUCACUAGUAAGUUGUCAAUGGAUUCAAGAAUUAGGUUACAAACUAGGUUGCAUGUAUUGCUUCAUUCAAGACAUAGGGUUAGGUUCUUGGUAAGUCCUAUCGAGAAGAAUUUUUCGUUGCCGUUUUCUAAUGUUUUUCGUUCUAUGAUGUUGGAAAACAUUUUCUUCCCUAGGGUAACAUGUUUUAGGUUAAAUGACUACCGUCACUUACAUGAGGCAGUCAUUGAGUCCCGAGAGGAUUUGUAUCAGAUAUCGGGAGCGCUCAAUAAAAUUAAAGUGUGUACUUCUAGCUCCCCUUUAGUUUUAACGUUGCAUAAAAAAGGGCCUUGCAUGGUGUACGCUUCGGAUUUUAAAUCGCAUUCAGAUUCACAUAAGUACCGAAUAUUAAAUGGUAGUUUACCUAUAUGUGAGGUAUAUGGUAAGAAGAGCGUUAAGUUGUCGGUUUUAAUAGAAUAUGUGAGGGGUAGGGAGAGGGUGUUUCAAGUAAAACGCUCUUUGCCUAAUGGAAUUGAAGUUGAGCAUCAUAAUAACCCUAUUCAGCACGUCUCGUACAAUAUUCUAUCUUAUCGUACCUACGAUGAGGUAUUAUUUGAUAUUAUAUCGGACGGAACUAUAAACGUUGGUAGUUGUGUUCAAUGGAACAUUGACUUCUUAUCAUAUAAAUUUCGUGAGCUAAAUUUUUGUGUGUAAGUAUAAAUUAUUAAUAUAGUAUGACUCGUCGAAUUAAUUCGAGAAACCGAGUAUCUAAACAACAUGGUCAAAAUGUUUGGGGUGUUUCACUGGCAGGUAAGCGUUCAAAAAUAGGAGUAAGUAGGCAGAAAUCCUCUCUAUAUGGUCAGUUGUUGCAAGCAAAGCAGUUAAUAAAACGUUUCUAUGGAGAGAUUUCCGAAUCCCAGUUUCGUAGCCUAUGUUUAGCAGGGGCUAGGCAUAUGCAACAAACCGGCGAUUUAGAUAAUGGUUUGCGACACGUGGCUUGCCUAUUAGAGUGUAGGCUGGAUAUGUCGCUAUUUAGAAGUAAUUUAGUUCCUUCUAUUUUCCUAGCGAGACAGAUGGUUAAUCACGGCCACACUCUGGUGAAUGGAGUUUGUGUGAGGCAGCCGGGGCUGUUGUUGAAAGGUGGGGAUGUAGUUGAAAUUGCUUUUAAUAAAAAGUUGUGGGCUAGAGAAAAUUUACUCAGAUUCAUCUCUACGGGCAGAGUUGUAUUUGAUUUGCCUACAUAUAUGCAGGUUGAUUAUGAUAGGAUGGCAUCUGUGAUGCUACGUAAGCCUUUUUCCGAUGAAAUUAAAUACCCACUGAAGGUAAGCUUUAAAAACCUGCUUUCUUGGUAUGCGUAGUUAGUGUGUAUAAGUGUUUUAUUAUGAAAUCAAAGAAAGCAGUGCUAAAAAGAUUUGUUAAAUCCUCAUCAAACAAAGUGUCACAUAGGCCUAGCUGCAGUGGUCAUUUAUUACGAAACAAGUCGAAGCGUCGCAAUUCCAAAUUAAAGCUCGUCUCAUCUGCAGAUUUUCGUAGAAUUUUUGUUUUGUUAGGUUAGGAUUAAUAUGCGUUUUUUUUUAAAGAAUGUGUCAGGUUUUUCGAGAUCCUCAGUGCGAAGCUCGAACACCCAAAUUGGUAGGGUGAAGAGAGCUUUAAGGAAUCAUUUUGUAUCUAGAAGAUUACUGAAAAGACAAGUUAGACAAACGUGGAUUUCCCAGGCGAACGCCCUGGCUCGUCGGUAUAAUAUGCCCUAUUCAAGAUUUCUGUAUUUGCUCCGUCAAAACAAUAUCUUGUUAAACAAGAAAAUGAUAUCUUACAUGGGGAAUGCUGAAAAUUUAUCAUUCGGUAGUUUAUUAGUUGUGUGUAGUAAGAAGACUUAGCCAUGAAAUCUAAAGUUUCCAUCCAUGAGUUAUCUAGGUUGGGCCUAACACACGAUAAGACUCAGUUUUUAGAGGAGCUUCGUAUUUCUUCGUAUGUUAAAGUUAUGUUUGAUAACUUAUUUAAUUCUGGUCGAAGAUCAGUGAUCAGCGGUGUUUGUAAACGAAUUCGACGUAAUGGUAUUUCCACGACAUUACUACUCCAAAGUAAUGAUGGUUAUCAAGUGUCGGUUCCGGUAUAUUCACCACUGGUGAAAAAACUAUCUUUAGUAGAUAGAUAGAUUGUUAUAUAAUUGAAAGAUAUAUUGUUUUAUGAAUCGUAUCAGACCGUUAUCCCCUCAUCUGACCAUUUAUAAGCCCCAAAUGACUAGUAUAUUGUCUAUAUUGCAUAGGGGCACUGGAAUUGUUAUGUUUUUGUUACCAGGGGUCGCUAUAUUGCUUAAUAUUAUUGGUACAUUUUCUUCAUUUUCAUUUAGUGUUUUUAGCCUCUUUGUAAGUUUGAAGAGCCAUAUUCUUAUGUUAAUUAUGUUAGGGUUAUUAGGUUUUUUGUUAAGCUUUUCGUAUCAUGCUAUGAAUGGUAUAAGGCAUUUAAUUUGGGACUGUGGUUAUGGCUUGUCACUAAAGUCCAUGUCGUAUUCUGGAUACGUAACAUUGUUCUCCGGUUUGGUUAUCUUUGGGCUAACAUUGUUGGUUGUCGUUUAGUAGAGGUAAGUUCUUCAUAUGAUUAAUAAAUUAAGUUACGCGUUGAGUAGAAAAUCAGGACAUAUUCAUUGGUUAUUACAGAGGCUGACUUCUAUAAUACUAGUACUUUUGAUAUCAUCUUGGCUAUUCAGUUUCAUCUUUGAUCUAGGACACGGUUCUAGUCUAUUAUUUUAUUCAUUUUUAAUUACAAUGCUGCACCUGUAUUUAGGGUUUUAUGAAGUAAUAAAAGAUUAUAUACAUAAUCCAAAUACGUAUUCAUUUUGCAUUGGAUUGUAUAAUAUAUUUUUCAUUUCGUCAUUGCAAUAUUUGAUCUUGGCAUAUGUUGAGUAUAAUGCGAUUAGUUAAUAAGGUAUGGUAUAUUUAUAAAUUAUGACAUUACAGAAUAAGAAAGUUUUUGAGAUUUACAGGUGGAGCCCCGAGUCUGGAGGUAAGCCAUACAUGAAAAGGUAUGAAGUUUCUUUAAGCGAUUGUGGUCCAAUGGUAUUGGAUGCGUUGAUUAAGAUAAAGAAUGAAGUAGACAGUACUUUAUCUUUUAGGAGGUCUUGCAGGGAGGGCAUUUGCGGUAGUUGCGCGAUGAAUAUAGAAGGGACAAACACCCUUGCUUGUAUAAAAAAAAUACCAGAUGGUAACGAGCCUCUGAAAAUAUAUCCGUUACCUCACAUGUACGUGGUUCGCGAUUUGGUUCCGGAUCUUACAAAUUUUUAUGCCCAAUACAAGUCUAUAGAGCCCUGGAUAAAGAAAAAAACUAAAGUGGUCGACAGCGAGCAAUUACAGUCCACUAGCCAAAGAUCUUUAUUAGACGGAUUGUACGAAUGCAUUUUAUGCGCUUGUUGUUCGACCAGUUGUCCGAGUUACUGGUGGAAUGGAGAUAGAUACUUGGGUCCAGCAGUUUUACUCCAAGCGUACCGCUGGAUAGCGGACAGUCGUGAUGAAUAUACUAAAGAGAGGUUACGUUCUUUAAACGAUGCAUUUAAGUUGUAUAGAUGCCAUACAAUCAUGAAUUGCUCUAAAACCUGCCCUAAAAAUCUGAACCCGGGUAAAGCGAUUGCAGAGAUCAAAAAACGAAUCUCUUUAUUUUCUUAGCAUUUAUAGCUUUAGUUGUAUAUAUUUAGGUGUAGGUUAAUUAUGGUUUGGGGAAUAUCGGUAUUUAAAUUAUCAAUACCAUUUAUAAUAUUUUUUAUUGGUCUUUCUGGGAUAUUUCUGAAUAGAAGAAAUAUCAUCAUAUUGUUGAUGUCGGUGGAGUUGAUGUUAUUAUCUAUUAAUUUUGGUUUUAUUUUGUUUUCUGUUUAUCUAGACGAUAUUGUAGGCCAAAUAUUUUCUCUUUUGGUAUUAACCGUCGCAGCCGCAGAAUCAGCUAUUGGAUUAGCCAUAUUGGUGAUCUAUUAUAGAGUCCGUAAGACGAUCUCGAUAGAGUCUAUUCGUUUAAUGAAAGGGUAGUUAGUAUGUAUUUAUUAAUUGUAUUCAUACCAUUAGUUACUUCAUUGGUUUCUGGACUGGGUGGUAGAUUUAUUGGUAAGCUUGGAUCACAGGUCUUGACUUCUUUAGGAGUUCUCAUGUCCGCUACAUUAUCAAGUGUUGCAUUUUACGAAGUAGGUAUUUGCGGUAGCCCAUGUUAUGUAGAGUUCUUACCCUGGAUCUCGUCGGACAUGCUGAGGGUUUAUUGGGGAUUUCAAUUCGAUAGCCUAACAGUAGUAAUGCUAGUAGUGGUAACGUAUGUAUCCACUUUAGUUCAUCUGUAUUCAAUCGGGUAUAUGUCUGAGGACCCACAUAUCCCUAGGUUUAUGAGUUACUUGUCAUUAUUCACAUUCUUCAUGUUGAUGCUGGUUACGGGCGAUAAUUUAGUUCAAUUGUUCUUUGGUUGGGAAGGGGUUGGCGUAUGCUCUUAUCUGUUAAUUAGUUUUUGGUAUACUAGAAUCCAAGCAAAUAAGGCAGCGUUGAAGGCAAUGGUUAUGAACCGUGUUGGUGAUUUUGGAUUAUCUUUAGGCAUUUUUGCAUCUUUUUAUGUCUUUAAAAGCCUAGAUUAUGCAACUAUUUUUUCGCUCGCACCUUACUAUGUUGACUUUCAAAUACCGUUUUUAUACUGGAGCUUUGGCUCAUUAAACUUGAUAGGUAUCUUAUUGUUUGUAGGGGCUGUUGGUAAAUCUGCGCAGUUAGGUCUCCAUACUUGGCUUCCAGAUGCGAUGGAGGGGCCAACACCGGUGUCUGCUCUGAUACAUGCUGCUACAAUGGUAACUGCUGGGGUAUUUUUGAUCUCUAGGUGUUCUCCACUAUAUGAAUAUGCACCAAAAGCAUUGUUGGUCGUUACAAUCAUAGGUGGUACCACAGCAUUUUUUGCUGCAACAACAGGACUGGUUCAGAAUGAUUUGAAAAGAGUGAUUGCCUACUCCACAUGUAGUCAGUUGGGGUAUAUGAUUUUUGCUUGCGGUUUAUCUGGAUAUUCAAUAGGAAUGUUUCAUUUAAUGAAUCACGCGUUCUUUAAGGCUUUAUUGUUUUUAAGUGCAGGGUCGGUAAUCCAUGCCUUGGCCGAUGAGCAGGAUAUGAGAAAAAUGGGGGGCAUGUUAAACAUAGUGCCAUUAACCUAUACGAUGAUGUUGAUCGGAUCGAUGUCAUUGAUGGGAUUUCCAUUUUUAACGGGUUUCUAUUCGAAGGAUGUAAUCUUAGAGUUUUCGUUCGCUAAGUAUACCAUAGACAGUAGCUUUGUAUUUUGGCUAGGUGUAAUCUCGGCAUUCUUCACAGCAUUCUAUUCAUUCAGGUUAAUAUAUUUGACGUUCUUUGGGGAGCCGAACAGUAUUCGUUCCGUAGUUAGCAAAUCCCACGAUGCUCCGGUGAUAAUGGCGUUGCCACUAAUGUUGUUAUGCUUAGGUAGUGUGUUUGUUGGUUAUAUAUUUAGAGAUUUGAUAAUUGGUUUAGGAACGGAUUUCUGGGGUUCUGCACUAUAUGUGAGUCCACACAACUCUGCUCAUAUUGACUCUGAGUUUAUACCACAUAUGGUGAAGCUGAUGCCGGUUUGUCUAAGUGUUUUAGGGGCUCUGGCUUCUUUAUACGUUUAUGAGAAGCUUGCUUUAGAGAUCGGCUCCUUGUAUAAAACUGCCAUUUGGUUGAGUGUUUAUAAGUUUCUGAAUGGUCGGUGGUUAUUUGAUUCGGUUUAUAACUAUUUUGUUGCGGAGAAGCUUAUGUCUUUUGGAUAUCACAUAUCAUUCAAAACGUUGGACAAGGGUAUUAUUGAAUUUAUGGGCCCAUCAGGUUUGAUUUCACUUAUCUCUACUUGGAGUAUCAGGGUAUCUCGUUUGAAUACAGGUUAUCUGUACCAUUCUGCGUUCUUAAUGAUGCUGGGUGCAGUAAUUGUGUUGGGGGUGACUAGAGUGUGCCAAAUGGAGAGUGAUAUAGCGUAUGUUAAGUUAGCGUUCGUACAAGUUAUAUGUGGUCUGUUUUAUUUAGGGAGUGUGGGUAGAGACUCAAUCAAGUUAAUAUAAUAAAUUUUACAGUUAACGUUUGCAAACGAUAAAGUUAGGAGAUUUUAUGGAUAAAUUGGUUUCACAGGUUGGGCAAGAAUUAUUUAAUUCUUGCUCAGACACGGUAGUUUUUUAUAUGUCUGCAAUUAUUGGAACGUUGUUGAUCGGUUCGAUAAUUAUGUUUUUUGUUCCUAGUAAUUUGGAGUCGGCAAUAAAAGUUGGGACGUUGGUAUUUUCCCUAUGUGCUUUUUUAUUAUCCUUGUUACUUUGGUACAACUACGACUAUACGCUAGGGCUGGUUGCUUUUACGUAUGAUCAUUCUUGGAUUGGAAAUAGUGGCUUCUCAUUGACCAUGGGGGUAGAUGGUGUGUCAAUUUCCUUGAUUGCGCUGACUACGUUUUUGAUACCUGCGUGUAUAUUAUGUAGCUGGAGAUCUAUUAGGUCGAGUGUGAAGGAAUAUUAUAUUUGUUUUUUAGUGCUGGACUUAUUGUUGGUUCUCGUAUUUUCUUCUCUGGAUCUUUUUUUAUUUUAUAUUUUUUUCGAAGGCGUUUUGAUACCAAUGUUUUUAUUGAUAGGUAUCUGGGGUUCUAGUGAGAGACGCGUAUAUGCAUCGUAUAUGUUGUUUUUAUAUACGUUAGCUGGUUCAUUGCUUAUGUUGCUGGCAGUAAUAUAUAUCUACCUAGAAGUAGGCACUACAAACAUAGUAGAGGUAUUGGAUUAUGAGUUCGGAUUGACAAUACAAAAGUUACUUUGGGUCUGUUUUUUUACUUCUUUUGCGGUGAAAAUGCCAAUGGUUCCAUUCCAUAUUUGGUUACCUGAAGCGCAUGUAGAAGCCCCUACUGCCGGAUCCGUGUUACUUGCUGGGGUCUUAUUAAAGCUCGGGGGAUAUGGGUUCUAUAGGAUGUCUAUACCUCUUUUUCCAGAUGCUACAGUAUACUUUGCGCCGUUUGUUUUAAUGUUAAGUGUCGUUGCCAUAGUAUACGCUUCGUUAACUACAUUACGCCAGGUGGAUUUGAAAAGAGUAAUUGCGUACUCUUCAGUUGCUCAUAUGGGGUUUGUCACGUUAGGCAUGUUUUCAUUGAAUGUGCAUGGUAUUGAAGGGUCUAUCUUGUUGAUGUUAAGCCACGGUGUUGUAUCUAGUGCAUUAUUUUUAUGUGUUGGUGUCUUAUACGAUAGGCAUAAGACAAGGAUCAUCAACUAUUAUGGUGGGCUAACUAGAGUGAUGCCAAUGUUCUCUGUAGCGUUUUUGUUGUUUACGAUGGCAAAUAUCAGUUUACCUGGAACAAGCAGUUUCGUAGGGGAGUUUCUCUCUCUGUUAGGAUGCUAUGAAGUAAGUACAUUUAUGGCUUUUAUUGCGUCAAUUGGAGUUGUUUUAGGAGCCGGUUAUUCAAUAUGGUUAUACAAUCGUGUUUGUUUUGGUAAUUUAAAAAUAGACUAUGUUAACAAAUUCACUGAUCUAAGCCGCAGAGAAUAUCUAAUACUUUUACCAUUUGCUAUUUUUACAAUUUUAUUUGGUAUAUAUCCAGACUUAUUUCUGAAUCUAAUUCACUUUUCAGUGUUGAACAUUAUUGAGUAUUGUAAGUUUUAGAAUUUUGGUAUAAAUUUAUAUGAAUGCUAUGUCGCUUUCAAUGGAUUCAUUUCAUUGGUUUCUUCCAGAAAGUUUCUUCCUAUUUGGCAUCCUGAUGGUCUUAUUAUACGGGGUGGUCCUAAGUGUUUCCAAGACUCAUAACUACCCGCUGUUAAUUCAGAACAUAGGGAUUCUAUCAAUUUGGUUAUUGACCCUAACAUCAUUACUACUAUUUAAUAAUUUAGGGCAUGGCUCUGUACCUAUUUUUGGUCUAUUUAUUUAUGAUUCGUUUGGCACAUACAUUAAAAUAAUCUUAGUGAUUAGUACAGUUUGUCUUUUGGUAUUGUCAAUAAGCUACUUGAAGGUCACAAAGGUAAAUACAUUCGAAUUUUAUUUGUUAUCUUUGCUGUCACUACUAGGAAUGUUUUUUAUCUGUAGUUCGUUUGACUUAAUAAGCGUUUAUAUGUCAAUAGAAUUCCAGAGCUUAUGUUUCUAUGUACUUGCAUCUUUGAAAAAAGAUUCGGAGUAUUCUACUGAAUCAGGGUUGAAAUAUUUUGUGCUGGGAGCGUUUUCCUCUGGGUUAUUACUAAUGGGUAGUUUGUUAAUUUACGGUGCUUCUGGCACGACAAACUUCGAAUAUUUGUCUAAGAUUUAUUCGGCUGAUUUCUUACACCAGACAGAUUUUUCCAUUACUUUAGGACUAAUCGUGUACCUAAUGGGACUAUGCUUUAAGUUGUAUAGUGCUCCAUUUCACGUGUGGGUUCCUGAUGUAUACGAGGGUUCCCCAACACUAGUAACUGCUUUUUUUUCCGCUGUCCCAUUCGUCUCAAUAUUCGCAUUAUUUGUGAGGGUCUUAUUCUAUUGCUUUGGGGAUCUGUCGUCCUAUUGGACAGACAUGGUAGCUUUCUGUGCUUGUCUCUCGCUGAUAGUAGGGGUUUUUGGAUCACUGGCCCAAGUUAAAGUCAAGCGGUUGAUUGCAUAUAGUGCAAUAGGGCAUUCUGGGUAUCUGUUUUUAGUUCUGUCAAGUGGUGACUUUGACAGUAUGAUCUCCGCACUAUUUUACAUAGUUGUAUAUAUGGUGACUACAAUAGGAUUUUUUGCUGGGAUAAUGUCCUUGCGAAGGGUUUACUUUUCUUCAACCGUUCAGAAUAGAUUUUUGGCAGAUUUUACAAACUUGAGGUUUAUAAACCCUUCGUUGGCGAUUUCAUUUGGCCUGAUUUUAUUUUCCAUGGCAGGAAUACCUCCUCUUUUAGGGUUUUUUAGCAAGUAUUUUGUGUUUGUAAAGUUAAUGUCUUGCGGUCUGUAUAUGUAUUCGAUUUUUGGAAUUAUUGCAAGUAUUAUUGGCUGUGUCUAUUACCUUAGGUUAAUUAAGAUAAUGUACUUUAUACCAAAUCCGGAGUACGCUUUUUACCUUCCUAUUCCUAAAGUAAAUGCUUGGCUGAUUUCAAUCAGCGUAAUGUUGUUGUUAUUCGGGAUUGUUGAUCCUUCAGGGGUUUACUAUCUAGCAGAAAACAUGUUAUUUGUGUUAAAUAAUUGGUAUUAGUUGAUCUAUGUACUCGUUAACAUUAUCGACCUUAGUAUCUGACUUAGCUCACUUGGGGCAAGAAGAGAAGGUUUUAUUUCCUAAGCUAAAGCCCUAUGUAUUAGGCAAUCGAGGAGGGUUUUCGAUUAUAAAUCUGGAGAGGACUUUAAACCAGUUGAAUAUAGGUUUGCGAAUUGUUCGCAAUAUCUGUUUGGCAGGUGGUCGUAUCUUGGUGUUGGAAUCCAGAAUAGAUCGAGCCAAUAUUGCCCAGUUCUAUUUUUCUGGCAUUAAGUCGGUCACUUUUAAGAAGAACUGGCGAGGGGGGUCAUUAACGAAUAAUGAAGGUCUUAGUGAUAGUCUGCCUGACUUGAUACUUAUUUUCGGCGGUUCUGAGCAUAGAAGUGUUAUAAAAGAAGCCGCUAGGCUAGGUAUUCCGGUUGUUGGAGUUGUUGAUACAGACUGUGAUCUAUUAGGAAUAGAUUAUCCUAUUUUAUGUAAUAGUAUUUCUUUAACAAGUCUCGUUUUAUAUUAUAGGUUAUUCUCUAAGGCAGCCGGUUAGUCCUUAAUUUAUAAGGGGACAAGGAAAAUUUUUGCCUUGUCCCCGAUAUAUAUUUUCUGUCGAAUGCUUUUCAUUCCCAUAUUAUAGGUAGUGUUGGAAAUGCCAAGAACUGCCCUUGGGUCCAGUAAAUAUGAAAGCACACGUAUUUUCAUAGUAUGCGCAAGAGUUUGGAGAAGUGGCAGAGUGGCUUAAUGCGUCGGUUUGCUAAAUCGUUAUGCGGCUUAUUUACGCAUCGUGGGUUCGAAUCCCAUCUUCUCCUUCUGUGGGGGCAUAGUUCAAUUGGUAGAGCGUCUGCUUUGCAAGCAGGAAGUUGUGGGUUCGAGUCCCACUGUCUCCAUUAUGACAUUUAUCUUGAUCAGGGCAAGUAUAAUACUUGCCUCUGAUAACAUAAACAAGAAGACAAACGUUAUUAAUUGACUUAGUAUAUCGGGCGGUGACAUGAGGGUUGCUAUGAUCAACAUGAUAGAUAUUAUCACUUUCCUUUUUUUCUUAAUCUUAUUUACGUUAAGUGCCUCAAAAUCGAUUAGGAUAAAUAUGGCUAGAGGAAUCACGGAAAUUAGGAUUCCAAAAGCCAGCAAUUUAACCAUUGUUGAUACAAGGUCUGAUAAUUUAGGCAGAAACAUAAUGGUUAGACUGGCAUCCUGGGUCUCGAAUGAACUGAAAAACGAAACACCUGUAUUAAAAAAGAUAAAAUAAGAAAAUAGCAUGGAAAUAAUAGACACCAUCCAAGUCAUUUUCCAAAAUAUGGAGCAAAUGGAAUGUUCUUUUCUCUUCAGUGCUGGCGUGAGGAACAUCUCAGCCUGAUAUAAAAAUAUGGGUGUGGUCAGAACAGCUGCGGUCAACGUACUAAUUGUUAAAUAAGAAAAGAAAGCCUCGGUUAGGCUUGUGUAUAUGAACGGUUUUUUUAUCAUAUGUUGUAAGUAACUUAAUACUGUUCUGAUAUGCAGUAGGUUAACUGUUACCACAAGUAAAAAACUCACUAGUACGUAAUUUAAUCUGUUUUUUAAUUCUGACGUAUAGUAUUGAAAGGGUAUCAUGGUCUCUUAUUCAUCUGAUCUGUAAUGUUAAGGAUAAAGUGGGAUUCGAACCCACGGUACUUUUUACAGUACUUCAGUUUUCAAGACUGACACCUUAAACCACUCGGUCAUUUAUCCUUUAAUUGCCAUCGCAAGGCGGAGGUAGGAUUUGAACCUACAACCUUCAGGUUAUGAGCCUGAUGAGCUACCUGGUUGCUCUACUCCGCGACUUUGAAUACGGGUGGAGGGACUUGAACCCACACGAUUUCUCACUAGAUCCUAAAUCUAGCGUGUCUACCAGUUUCACCACACCCGCAAAGUGUCAUGUCGAUUGUUACCUGGAGAGGUGGCUGAGCGGUCAAAAGCAACAGACUGUAAAUCUGUCGGUUACUACCUACGUAGGUUCGAAUCCUACUCUCUCCAUUGAUUAAUCUCUAGAGAGGGGGAGAGAAAUCCCCCUCUUUGUCGCUUUAGAAUGUAAAUAGCAAAAGAAACACUACCAUCAAAGCGAAUAGUCCAAUCGCUUCAGUUAGGGCGAAUCCAAUCAGUGUGUAUCUGAAUAGCUCAUUUGUAAGUGAUGGGUUUCUAGCAAUCCCUGUUACUAAGCUACCAAAUAGUGUACCAAUACCUGUACCCACACCUGAUAAUCCAAUAGUCGCUAACCCAGCUCCGAUUAAUUUUGCACUCUCGGUCAUAAUCAUAUUUUACUUUAAAUAUAUAUAUACAUAUUUAGUAUACGUUACUCCAGGAUUGUAUGUAGUAAUAAUUUAUGCGUUGCCAUCUGUCGGACUUGAACCGACACUCCAAUUUGGAAUCAGAUUUUAAGUCUGACGUGUCUACCAUUUCCACCAAGAAGGCAAUGCGGAUAAUGGGACUCGAACCCAUAUAGUCUGCUUGGAAGGCAGAUAAUUUAGCCAUUAAUUCAUAUCCGCAUUUGAAGUUGUUUGGACAUUGCUUUUAAUUUAAAAGAGGAAACUCCGGGCUUGAUAAGGUAAAAUUAAUUUAACUAUUAAGGAAGUAGACUUUAGAGACAGUUAUGUAGAAAUUGGUAAUUAUUGUUUAAUUAUAUUAAUUAAUAUAUUAUAUUUUAUAAUAAUUAUUACGAUGAACAAUCAUUUUGUGAUAGUAUAAUCGCGUACUUAAAAUUAAAACCUUUUUACAAGAAAAAGCUAGUUGCAUAUGUUAGUUAUGUGAAAGCUUGAUGGAUGACAUUAUGUGUCAGAAAAAUUGUGUUUAUACAGAAUCCGGGUUAU
rnacentral:RNase_P_RNA from 1 species